CCCGGCGACCGGCGCACGGGUGAGUAACGCGUAUGCAACUUACCUAUCAGAGGGGAUAACCCGGCGAAAGUCGGACUAAUACCGCAUGAAGCGGGGCCCCGCAUGGGGAUAUUUGCUAAAGAUUCAUCGCUGAUAGAUAGGCAUGCGUUCCAUUAGGCAGUUGGCGGGGUAACGGCCCACCAAACCGACGAUGGAUAGGGGUUCUGAGAGGAAGGUCCCCCACAUUGGUACUGAGACACGGACCAA
rnacentral:rRNA from 1 species